rnacentral:rRNA from 1 species
AUGAACGAGGAGCUGGGCCAAGUAUACACGAUUCUCACGGAUAAGACUGGGACUUUGAGAGUACGUAUAAUGUGCAGUAUAAUGUACGAGAGGCUGUCAAACUGUCAGAGUACGUAUGGUGAAGCGACACAGAAGCACAUAAAUGAUUACGCUGAUGCUGGCCUGAGGACACUAGUUCUUGCAUACCGUCAACUUGAGGAGAUCGAAUACACUAAAUUCGAAAGGAACUUCACAGCAGCUAAGAAUUCUGUCAGCGCUGAUCGGGAUGAGCUGAUUGACAAAGCGACAGAUUUGAUAGAGAUGGAUUUGAUUCUGUUUGGAGCCGCCGCCGUUGAGGACAAGCUGCAAAAGGGGCGAUAUUUGGCCAAUUUUAUGAACUUAAAAUCAGAUGCUCUUUUUCACAGAUAUGCCUGCAGUCUACUCAGACAAGGGAUGAAACAAAUAACCAUCACACUAGAUACACCAGAUAUCAUUGCCUUGGAGAAAGGUGGUGACAAAGGAGCCAUUAAUAAGGUAGGUAAAGUAUUGCAGAUUAUAGUUACCGAGUCCUCUGUCUAG